rnacentral:rRNA from 1 species
GAUGAACGCUGGCGGCGUGCCUAAUACAUGCAAGUCGAGCGAACAGACGAGGAGCUUGCUCCUCUGACGUUAGCGGCGGACGGGUGAGUAACACGUGGAUAACCUACCUAUAAGACUGGGAUAACUUCGGGAAACCGGCGCUAAUACCGGAUAAUAUAUUGAACCGCAUGGUUCAAUAGUGAAAGACGGUUUUGCUGUCACUUAUAGAUGGAUCCGCGCCGCAUUAGCUAGUUGGUAAGGUAACGGCUUACCAAGGCAACGAUGCGUAGCCGACCUGAGAGGGGGAUCGGCCACACUGGAACUGAGACACGGUCCAGACGCCUACGGGAGGCAGCAGUAGGGAAUCUUCCGCAAUGGGCGAAAGCCUGACGGAGCAACGCCGCGUGAGUGAUGAAGGUCUUCGGAUCGUAAAACUCUGUUAUUAGGGAAGAACAAAUGUGUAAGUAACUAUGCACGUCUUGACGGUACCUAAUCAGAAAGCCACGGCUAACUACGUG